rnacentral:rRNA from 1 species
UACAGAGGGUGCGAGCGUUGUCCGGAAUCACUGGGCGUAAAGGGCGCGUAGGCGGCUCGGUAAGGUUGCGGUGAAAGCCCGGGGCUCAACCCCGGGUCGGCCGUGGCAACUGCUGAGCUGGAGCACUGUAGAGGCAGGUGGAAUUCCGGGUGUAGCGGUGGAAUGCGUAGAGAUCCGGAAGAACACCGGUGGCGAAGGCGGCCUGCUGGGCAGUGGCUGACGCUGAGGCGCGAAAGCUAGGGGAGCAAACGGG